AUUGAACGCUGGCGGCAUGCCUUACACAUGCAAGUCGAACGGCAGCACGGACUUCGGUCUGGUGGCGAGUGGCGAACGGGUGAGUAAUGUAUCGGAACGUACCUUUCAGUGGGGGAUAACGUAGCGAAAGUUACGCUAAUACCGCAUAUUCUGUGAGCAGGAAAGCAGGGGAUCGAAAGACCUUGCGCUGAUUGAGCGGCCGAUAUCAGAUUAGCUAGUUGGUGGGGUAAAGGCCUACCAAGGCGACGAUCUGUAGCGGGUCUGAGGGGAUGAUCCGCCACACUGGAACUGAGACACGGUCCAGACUCCUACGGGAGGCAGCAGUGGGGAAUUUUGGACAAUGGGGGCAACCCUGAUCCAGCCAUGCCGCGUGAGUGAAGAAGGCCUUCGGGUUGUAAAGCUCUUUCGGCCGGGAAGAAAUCGCAUAGGCUAAUACCCUGUGUGGAUGACGGUACCGGAAUAAGAAGCACCGGCUAACUACGUG
rnacentral:rRNA from 1 species